GUGACUUGGGAGAGGGCCACUUUGGGAAGGUUGAGCUCUGCAGGUAUGACCCUGAAGGGGACAAUACAGGGGAGCAGGUGGCUGUUAAAUCUCUGAAGCCUGAGAGUGGAGGUAACCACAUAGCUGAUCUGAAAAAGGAAAUCGAGAUCUUAAGGAACCUCUAUCAUGAGAACAUUGUGAAGUACAAAGGAAUCUGCACAGAAGACGGUAUGUUAUGCAAGGCUGGGGUCCGGUUUAAAGAUUUGGUGACUGUCUAGGGUCAUAAAGGCCAGUGCAAAACAGGCACUCCGUGGCCUUAUCUGGGCGUGACAU
rnacentral:sRNA from 1 species